rnacentral:SRP_RNA from 1 species
GCUGUGCGCAGUGGCGCGUGCCUGUUGUCCCAGCUACUCGGGAGGCUGAGGCUGGAGGAUCCCUUGAGCCCAGGAGUUCUGGGCUGUAGUGCGCUACGCCGAUCGGGUGUCCACACUAAGUUCGGCAUCAAUAUGGUGACCUCCCGGGACCAUCGGGUUGCCUAAGGAGGGGUGAACCGGCCCAGGUUGGAAACGGAGCAGGUCAAAACUCCCGUGCUGAUCAGUAGUGGGAUCGCGCCUGUGAAUAGCCACUGCACUCCAGCCCGGGAAACAUAGCCAGACCCCAUCUCU